CUGCGGAGAAAGAAGCAUUUCCCGGAGGAAGCAGUGGUUCUGUGCCAGCCUCUGCUGCAGGAAGGGAGGCCAUGCCAGGCACAGGCACAGGAGAUGAGGGUGCUGGGAAGGCUUCUCCAUCAGCUUGGAUGAAGAAAGUUUUGAAGCCUUUGGAGCCUCCUGCAGAUGUGUCUACAGGGAGGACUUCUCCAGCUUCUCCAGCUCCUACCUUGGAUGCUAUACGCAAGCCCAGCUCCCAUCACAGGGGUACUCCAACAGGGAAAGUCCAAGAUACAACAGAUAAGAUGUCCCUGCAACCAUCCAAACAGAUUAGGCAAGAGCUGAAGGAACCCCUGCAGACAAGAGAAGAGAUGGACAUAGUGCUUCAGUGGAAGGUGGCAUUUCUUGAAGGAAGCACUCCAUCUUCGGUGCGAGCCCCUGCUGCAGGAAGGACGGCAAUGCCAGACACGGG